rnacentral:tRNA from 1 species
UCCCAGGUGGCUCAGUGGUAAAGAAUCUGCCUGCCAAGCAGGAGACGCAGGUUUGAUCCCUGGGUUGGGAA